ACUGAAGAAGGGAGCAGGUAGCCAUUGGUUCAGAUGGAGAUCUUAUGAGGUAGCUGAGAACCAGCCUGAGGUCCCAGGAAGGGGUGGGGUGCCUAAUGGGGAAGAGAUUACUCAGACCCGGGGAUUAAAAAUUGAUAUAGCAGCCAGGUGUACCUUAACCGAGCUGAUGGAUACCCCGGAUGUCUUCAGAUUCAGCAAGUAACCCAUGAUGACAGAAAGGGGAAUCAACUAAGGCCAGAGAUAGCGAUGACAGUGCCAGUGGGCAAAUCUCUUCCAUUUCUGCAGCUGUAGGUCUAACUCUUGGAACAGAGCAAGUCCCUUCUGAGUGGAUGACAACACUGCCUUGAAAGACUGGCCUUUGAGAAGAAAGUCAUCAUGGUAUGGGAAGAUGAGAAUUGCUUCCUGCCAAAGUACAGCAAUGAAUGGAAACAAGGCUGAGUGCACAUAAUCCAAGUUCCAGUUAGUUAUUCACUCCUGCAAAGCAAUCUUGGA